CCUUCGAUAGCUCAGUUGGUAGAGCGGUGGACUGUAGCAACGAGCGUGGAAUGAUUGUGAGUUGGCAAUUGGUACCUGUAACUUAAAUGCCUCCGAUCAACCGUCUCCAAUGUAGUGGAAAUCCAUAGGUCACUGGUUCAAAUCCGGUUCGAAGGA
rnacentral:tRNA from 1 species